rnacentral:tRNA from 5 species
AGGGGUAUAGUUUAAUGGUAAAACGAAGGUCUCCAAAACCUUUGAUGUGGGUUCAAUUCCUACUACCCCUGCCA